GACGAACGCUGGCGGCGUGCUUAACACAUGCAAGUCGAACGAAGAGCGAUGGAAGCUUUCUUCUAUCAAUCUUAGUGGCGCACGGGUGAGUAACGCGUAAUCAACCUGCUCUUCAGAGGGGGACAACAGUUGGAAACGACUGCUAAUACCGCAUACGAUCUAAUCUCGGCAUCGAGGAAAGAUGAAAGGUGGCCUCUAUUUAUAAGCUAUCACUGCAGGAGGGGAUUGCGUCUGAUUAGCUAGUUGGAGGGGUAACGGCCCACCAAGGCGAUGAUCAGUAGCCGGUCUGAGAGGAUGAACGGCCACAUUGGGACUGAGACACGGCCCAGACUCCUACGGGAGGCAGCAGUAGGGAAUCUUCCGCAAUGGACGAAAGUCUGACGGAGCAACGCCGCGUGAGUGAUGACGGCCUUCGGGUUGUAAAGCUCUGUUAAUCGGGACGAAAGGCGUUCUUGCGAACAGUUAGAAGGAUUGACGGUACCGGAAUAGAAAGCCACGGCUAACUACGUG
rnacentral:rRNA from 1 species